rnacentral:hammerhead_ribozyme from 1 species
AUCCAGCUGAUGAGUCCCAACUAGGACGGAACUGGCAUCCUGGAU